rnacentral:misc_RNA from 1 species
GAUGAAGAACGCAGCGAAAUGCGAUAAGUCGUGUGAAUUGCAGAAUUCAGUGAAUCAUCGAAUCUUUGAACGCACAUUGCGCCCCUUGGUAUUCCAUGGGGCAUGCCUGUUCGAGCGUCAUUUGUACCUUCAAGCUCUGCUUGGUGUUGGGUGUUUGUCUCGCCUCUGCGUGUAGACUCGCCUCAAAACAAUUGGCAGCCGGCGUAUUGAUUUCGGAGCGCAGUACAUCUCGCGCUUUGCACUCAUAACGACGACGUCCAAAAGUACAUUUUUACACUCUUGACCUCGGAUCAGGUAGGGAUACCCGCUGAACUUAAGCAUAUCAAUAAGCGGAGGA